UACGUAGGGUGCGAGCGUUAAUCGGAAUUACUGGGCGUAAAGGGUGCGCAGGCGGUUGUUUAAGUCAGGUGUGAAAUCCCUGGGCUUAACCUGGGAAUGGCAUUUGAGACUGGUCGGCUAGAGUGUGUCAGAGGGGGGUAGAAUUCCACGUGUAGCAGUGAAAUGCGUAGAUAUUGCUCGGAAGGCCAGAGCCGAAGGGGCCCCAGUGGUACGUAACUGACGCUGAGGCACGAAAGCGUGGGGAGCAAACAGG
rnacentral:rRNA from 1 species